rnacentral:tRNA from 1 species
GAUUUAAUAAAUAAGUAAUUCUGCCUUCUAAGCAGACGGUCGAAGGUUCGAAUCCUUCCGAGAUCA